rnacentral:rRNA from 1 species
UAGGGAAUCUUCGGCAAUGGACGAAAGUCUGACCGAGCAACGCCGCGUGAGCGAUGAAGGCCUUCGGGUCGUAAAGCUCUGUUGUCAGGGAAGAACAAGUACCGGAGUAACUGCCGGUACCUUGACGGUACCUGACCAGAAAGCCACGGCUAACUACGUGCCAGCAGCCGCGGUAAUACGUAGGUGGCAAGCGUUGUCCGGAAUUAUUGGGCGUAAAGCGCGCGCAGGCGGUUCUUUAAGUCUGAUGUGAAAGCCCACGGCUCAACCGUGGAGGGUCAUUGGAAACUGGGGAACUUGAGUGCAGGAGAGAAAAGUGGAAUUCCACGUGUAGCGGUGAAAUGCGUAGAGAUGUGGAGGAACACCAGUGGCGAAGGCGGCUUUUUGGCCUGUAACUGACGCUGAGGCGCGAAAGCGUGGGGAGCAAACAGG